GAUGAAGAACGUAGCGAAAUGCGAUACUUGGUGUGAAUUGCAGAAUCCCGUGAACCAUCGAGUCUUUGAACGCAAGUUGCGCCCGAAGCCAUUAGGCCGAGGGCACGCCUGCCUGGGCGUCACACGUCGUUGCCCCCCCCAUCUACUCCUUCGGGAUUGCGGGGGGCGGAUGAUGGCCUCCCGUGCGCCUCGCCGCGCGGUUGGCAUUAAUGCCAAGUCCUCGGCGACGCACGCCACGACAAUCGGUGGUUGCGAAACCUCGGUUGCCCGUCGUGUGCGGUCGUCGCGCAUCGAGGGCUCGAAAAAAUUGCCGAGUUCCGGCUCGGCUUUCAACGCGACCCCAGGUCAGGCGGGGUUACCCGCUGAAUUUAAGCAUAUCAAUAAGCGGAGGA
rnacentral:misc_RNA from 1 species